ensembl:lncRNA
GAAAGAGGAGAGUGAGAGAUGGAUGGAAAGACAUGGCAGAAAGAGGAGAGUGAGAGAUGGAUGGAAAGACAUGGCAGAAAGAGGAGAGUGAGAGAUGGAUGGAAAGACAUGGCAGAAAGAGGAGAGUGAGAGAUGGAUGGAAAGACAUGGCAGAAAGAGGAGAGUGAGAGAUGGAUGGAAAGACAUGGCAGAAAGAGGAGAGUGAGAGAUGGAUGGAAAGACAUGGCAGAAAGAGGAGAGUGAGAGAUGGAUGGAAAGACAUGGCAGAAAGAGGAGAGUGAGAGAUGGAUGGAGUGAGUAUAUCAGAGAGGGAGGGAGAGAAAGUUCCAGGGCUGCAGUAACUGUACAUGAACAUGUGACCUGACCAGGAACAAAUCUGGGCCUUACACUCCUGGCCCUAAACAUAAACCAUGUAAUCAUCCCACUAUGGUGCUCAACUCUUUUUCCCAGGUGCCAUUGCAGCAGUUCUGCUGCAACCUCAGAAUACAACGCUAGGUUAGUGCUGAAAUUAGGAAGACAAAACCUAGAAAAACUACAACAUUAAAGUCUUGAGUCAGCUGGACUGAUUCCAAACAUUGUGCGGACCACAGAAUAUUAAAAUGUGCAUACUUUUUAUCUUUGGUUGUGAAUUAUAGGGGUGGUUACAUGGACCUAUAUUUAGCCUAUGAUUGGAGUUACUCCAUUUUCAAUGGCGUGUCUGCAAUGCAAUUGAACGUCCUUUGAAAAUGUGUUGUAGUCUAAGAGAAUGCUUGAAUAUGGGUUUGUGAAACAGCCCAAUAAGGGUACCAGUCAUUUUAAGCUUUUCUUUCAGUGUCUCGAGGUCCAACAGCGCCAACAGCGCCAGUGAGGGGCGAUGCAUUGAUGUGACCCAUAUGCUUUUCAUUUGUAACCGAAGAUCCUUGCUUGCUUUUUGUGUUCCCCUUACAAAAUAUAAUCUAUUAUCUUGUUUGUAUUUAUUUUCUUUGUCAAAUGGUUCCAUUCUGUCCGUAAGCGUUAACUAAAGACUUAAGUUAUGUAUAUGUAAAUAAUGUAGAGGUUUUAUGGGUCUCCUUUUUGUUGUUGUAUGAAUACUCUGAAACAUGUUACACCUACUGGCUGUACUUUGCAUCAGGUCAGUUUGAGGUCUUCUGUACACAAGUCAAAAACAUGAUCAUAAACAAAUACUAUAUAACGUGAUGUCAGGAAAAGUCCAUUUCCAGCAGGAAUGAGGAUGAUAAUGAUGAGGGUGAUGAUGUGGAUGAAUAGGAUAUGGGUGGUAGUAAUACUGAUGAUGGUGAUGAUAAGGCAGAUGUUGAGGAUGAAUAGGAUAUGGGUGGUAGUAAUACUGAUGAUGGUGAUGAUAAGGCAGAUGUUGAGGAUGAAUAGGAUAUGGGUGGUAGUAAUAUUGAUGAUGGUGAUGAUGAUGAUGAUAAGGCAGAUGUUGAGGAUGAAUAGGAUAUGGGUGGUAGUAAUAUUGAUGAUGAUGGUGAUGAUGAUAAGGCAGAUGUUGAGGAUGAAUAGGAUAUGGGUGGUAGUAAUAUUGAUGAUGAUGGUGAUGAUGAUAAGGCAGAUGUUGAGGAUGAAUAGGAUAUGGGUGGUAGUAAUAUUGAUGAUGGUGAUGAUGAUGGUGAUGAUAAGGCAGAUGUUGAGGAUGAAUAGGAUAUGGGUGGUAGUAAUAUUGAUGAUGGUGAUGAUAAGGCAGAUGUUGAGGAUGAAUAGGAUAUGGGUGGUAGUAAUAAUGAUGAUGAUGAUGGUGAUGAUAAGGCAGAUGUUGAGGAUGAAUAGGAUAUGGGUGGUAGUAAUAUUGAUGAUUGUGAUGGUGGUGAUAAUAAGGCAGAUGUUGAGGAUGAAUAGGAUAUGGGUGGUAGUAAUAUUGAUGAUUAUGAAAAUUAUGAUGUCCGAACUAUAAUGCUGACUGAUGAAGUUGAAUCCAGUAGUUUUUCUAUGUGUUUGUAAGAUAUGACCCCUGAUCUCAGGGCAGAAUAUUACCUACUACUGCCCCUUGUGUGGGGCUAUAGCUAAAUGAACUUUUCUAUCUCUGUAAAAGCUAUUGGUCACAUUGUACAUUAUGUGGAAAGCUACAUAAAGUAUACAAAGACUACAUCCGUUGUACGACGCAUUUAUUUAUUAUUUAUUGAGCUUGACCUACAUAUUUGCAUAUGCAAUUAAUCAUCCAGUUUAUCAGUAGAUAAUAUGCUGAAAUGUAUAUUUUAUUAAACUUAGUAGGUCAUGGAUCAAAGGUUAUUAAGUUCUUAAUUUAUGUUAAUCAUCUAAGUACCAACUGUCAUGGGUAGUAAUUAUUUAAAUAGACUUUAGAUACAAUAUUUGCCUGUUUUUUAUAUGGUGG